rnacentral:rRNA from 1 species
AUUGAACGCUGGCGGAAUGCUUUACACAUGCAAGUCGAACGGCAGCACGGACUUCGGUCUGGUGGCGAGUGGCGAACGGGUGAGUAAUGUAUCGGAACGUGCCCAGUCGUGGGGGAUAACGUAGUGAAAAUUACGCUAAUACCGCAUACGAUCUAUGGAUGAAAGCGGGGGAUCGCAAGACCUCGCGCGAUUGGAGCGGCCGAUAUCAGAUUAGGUAGUUGGUGGGGUAAAGGCCCACCAAGCCAACGAUCUGUAGCUGGUCUGAGAGGACGACCAGCCACACUGGAACUGAGACACGGUCCAGACUCCUACGGGAGGCAGCAGUGGGGAAUUUUGGACAAGGGGCGAAAGCCUGAUCCAGCCAUUCCGCGUGCAGGAUGAAGGCCCUCGGGUUGUAAACUGCUUUUGUACAGAACGAAAAGGUUUCUACUAAUACUAGGAGCUAAUGACGGUACUGUAAGAAUAAGCACCGGCUAACUACGUGCCAGCAGCCGCCGUAA